ACCGGAAGCGAUUGAUGUUGAGGCACUUGAUGAUGAUGUGAUUAAUCAUCCCCUAGGGCGUUUGCAGAAGCGAAGAACAACUCCAUAAGGAAUCGAGGACGGGUUAUUGUGGUUGAUGUGGAUUCUGAGGGGCUUUCAUCUAGGGCCUCAAGUAACAGUCGCAACAGGCGUAGAAGAGUCUCUACAGAUCAAGCAACAAACAAUGGUGGCAUUCACAUAGACCUAGAAGGACAUAGCUGUCAAAAGAGUGUCAAUGUAAAAAGUUCAAUACCACCACAACCAAAAGAGCCCGCAUUCAGCUGUCCAGUGUGCAUGGGUUCAUUAGUUGAGGAGAUGUCGACUAAAUGUGGUCACAUUUUCUGCAAGGCGUGCAUAAAAGCAUCCAUAGCUGCUCAGCAUAAACGUCCUACAUGUAGGAGAAAAAUCACUAUGAGAGACACCAUAAAAGUGUAUCUUCCAACCACAAGUUAAGUCAAAGGAUUUGGCCAUCGUUUAUAUGACCUGUGGAGGAAGUGUAUUUGGAGAGUGGAAGGGAAGUAGGAUUGAAGAUACUUUUAUUCAGUUAGAGUUAAGUUUGAUUGUGACAAUCAACGACAUACUCUUUCCU